GUAGGGGAAUCAAACUUAGGGUCUCACAUGCUCUAUGCCCCUAGCUGGCAUAUCAUAUUUUAUUAUAGCUUCUGCUUCCAGAAAUGUCUUUGAUUGUUAAUAUUUUUAUCAUAUCUCAUUGUCCUGUGUCAAAUUUUGUAGAUCUAAACUUCAUCAAGGAUUCUGUAUUACUCUUUGAUCAGUAACAACUUUAUGUGCUAUUUUUAGCCACCGUCCGUUUUCACAUGAUACUUUUACCAGUUAUACAAAUUAUGAACUGGACAGAGCUAAAUUUUCACCAGUGUAUGCAGUUUUGUCGGUAUAAAUAAAGCAUCC
rnacentral:lncRNA from 1 species